rnacentral:tRNA from 1 species
UGUCUCUUAGCUUAGUUGGUAAAGCACACCCCUGAUAAGGGUGAGAGCACUGGUUCGAGUCCAGUAGAGACAAC